rnacentral:rRNA from 1 species
GAUUAGCUUGUUGGUGAGGUAACGGCUCACCAAGGCGACGAUCCCUAGCUGGUCUGAGAGGAUGACCAGCCACACUGGAACUGAGACACGGUCCAGACUCCUACGGGAGGCAGCAGUGGGGAAUAUUGCACAAUGGGCGCAAGCCUGAUGCAGCCAUGCCGCGUGUAUGAAGAAGGCCUUCGGGUUGUAAAGUACUUUCAGCGGGGAGGAAGGUGUUGUGGUUAAUAACCGCAGCAAUUGACGUUACCCGCAGAAGAAGCACCGGCUAACUCCGUGCCAGCAGCCGCGGUAAUACGGAGGGUGCAAGCGUUAAUCGGAAUUACUGGGCGUAAAGCGCACGCAGGCGGUCUGUCAAGUCGGAUGUGAAAUCCCCGGGCUCAACCUGGGAACUGCAUUCGAAACUGGCAGGCUUGAGUCUUGUAGAGGGGGGUAGAAUUCCAGGUGUAGCGGUGAAAUGCGUAGAGAUCUGGAGGAAUACCGGUGGCGAAGGCGGCCCCCUGGACAAAGACUGACGCUCAGGUGCGAAAGCGUGGG